GGCUUUUGGUACUAAAAAAACAGCGGCGGUUGUUGCAGUAUGAUCGGGUAUAGAUCUUGGAAAGGACUUUAAUUAGUAUGUUCUAUAUUGACUUGACAGGAACAUGGUUUCAGGACAGGCAGUCCGGCUGGACGACUUGACUCCCACGAUCUAGAUGAGUCUUUGGAGCUGUGGAAUGUGAUAGAGAACCAAACCAUGACGGUCCAGGCACACGAAGGUCUUAUUGCAGCAUUGGCACAGUCACAAGCCACAGGAAUGGUGGCCUCUGCUAGCCAUGACAAGUCUGUUAAGCUGUGGAAGUAAGCAUGGGGGGUGUUGCAGUGGAAGUAAGCUGUGGAAGUAAGCCACAGGAAUUUUUGGAAGCUACUUUGAUGGUUUAUGUAUUCGUAGACUAAAUGUUUUGUGUCAUCUGUACUGAACUUCUUGUUCUAUCUUACUAAUCCCAGUGGUGUAGAAAUGCAUACCUUGUUAUAAUUAGUGUUGGAAGCAGUGGAACAGAGCUACUGCUGCACUGAUUGUUGGUAAAUCUUAGUUUUUAAGGUAACACGUGCUUGCUUUUCCA